rnacentral:misc_RNA from 1 species
GAGAGUAUAGUAACCCAACCUGAACUCCACACAUUUCUGGUCAGUUUGGAGCGUUUUCGAGUACGAUAUAGAAACAAGUCGGCCAGUCGCCACGGCCAACUUCACUCAAUCGAGUUUUUGUUUCUCAGUAGCAUCAUCUCGUGAAAAAGUUCUCUGUAACAUUGCAAUGGUGGACGAGUGGUGAGUCCACUGAAUUUUCUUUUUCAUUUUCUUUCUUUCUCUUUCUCUUCACCUAUUUCUCUUUCUCUCUUUACUUUUUCCACUGCACAUUAAAACUACAAAUCGUUGGUACAGUGUCGUAUGUUUAUUACUACCCACUUUGCCAAAUCAUAUCAUCAUGUGAAUCAUUGCUAUCUCUUGUGAAUAAGCAUGUUGUAAAUAGAAAGCCAAGUGUAGAAUUGACUCUCGAGAGUGUUCAGCACGCGUGUGAAUCUACGGAUGCCUCGCCUAACGAUUCUACUUGAAAUGAAAAAAUUAUGCUAAAAAGUGGACUGUCAAAUUAACUGUCGAGAGAUUAUAAGACAGUGAAAGAGAAAGAAAGAUCAACAUGAUGCAGGACCACGGUCAUCAUUCGAGUAGGAAGGCAGUUGCUACUUCGCCGGAAGUUGCGAUGGCCAGUGAGGUCUUUGAUCUCUUCUGUAAUGCUACGACGUUGAAAACCAUUCUUGGACACUUUCGGCAUCUUUGUGAUCUUCUUAAUAUGCGGCCCAACACCUUUCCUCAAUUCUAUCCCAAGUUCAAGUCCAAACUGAGGUCUUGGAAGGCUCAAGCACUUUGGAAAAAAUUUGAUCAACGAGCCAAUCACAAGUGUUACAAUAGAGGGAAAGCUAGUUCUAACACUAGAGUUUUAAUAAUUGGUGGUGGGCCAUGUGGUUUGAGAUCAGCAAUUGAAGCUCAACUCCUUGGAGCAAAAGUGGUAGUUGUUGAAAAAAGAGAUCGCAUGUCAAGGAAUAACGUUCUUCACCUCUGGCCAUUCGUAAUUCAUGACUUACGAGGUCUUGGAGCUAAGAAAUUCUUCGGGAAAUUUUGUGCUGGAUCAAUAGAUCAUAUAAGCAUUCGACAGUUACAAUGUAUACUCUUGAAAGUGGCUCUCAUCUUAGGCGUGGAAUUUCACGAAGGAGUGAGUUUCGAUUCGUUAAUUCCUCCUCCUGAUAAUCAAGAAGAAGGUAAAAUAGGAUGGAGAGCAAAAACAACACCACCAGAUCAUCCAGUCUCUCAAUACGAAUUCGAUGUUUUAAUUGGUGCUGAUGGAAAACGAAAUACUUUAGAAGGUUUUAAAAGAAAGGAAUUUCGUGGUAAAUUGGCUAUUGCCAUUACUGCUAAUUUUAUUAAUAAAAGAACUGAAGCAGAAGCUCGUGUUGAAGAAAUAAGUGGUGUAGCUUUUAUUUUUAAUCAAAAAUUUUUCAAGGAAUUGUACCAAGAAACUGGAAUUGAUCUUGAAAAUAUAGUUUAUUACAAAGAUGAUACGCAUUAUUUUGUAAUGACCGCAAAAAAGCACAGUUUAAUUGAUAAAGGUGUUAUACUUCAAGAUCAUGCUGAUACCGCUAAACUAUUAGCAAAAGAGAAUGUCGAUAGAGAUGCAUUGAUGUUGUACGCACGAGAGGCAGCAGAAUUUUCAACUCAAUAUCAAAUGAUGGAUAUGGAGUUUGCAGUGAAUCAUUAUGGACAACCAGACGUAGCAAUGUUUGAUUUUACGUCAAUGUAUGCUGCAGAGAAUGCCAGUCGAGUAUUAGAAAGACUUGGACAUCGACUUUUGAUGAUUUUAGUUGGUGAUAGUCUUCUAGAACCCUUUUGGCCAACUGGUUCGGGAUGUGCGCGUGGUUUUUUGAGUUCUAUGGACGCUGGUUGGGCUAUUAAAGGUUGGGGAGGACCAUUGUCACCAUUGGAAGUGUUGGCAGAACGUGAAUCUAUUUAUAGACUGUUGGGACAAACGACACCAGAGAAUUUAAACCGAGAUUAUGCUGCUUAUACAUUGGAUCCUCACACGCGGUAUCCAAAUCUAAAUGUCAGAUCUGUUUCGACAAGUCAAGUUCUUGGUUUAUUGGAUACUGAUGAUCCUGACAAUAUUAAACAACCGUCCGUUCAAUCGACUGAUAUUCCGAAGAAAAGAAGAAGACGAGACACACAAAUUCAUCCUGAUACUCUUCUACACUGGCUACAGAGACAAGUGGCUUUAUAUGAUAAAGUUCAGAUCACUGACCUGACUACUUCGUUUAAAGAUGGCCUAGCGACCUGUGCUAUUAUUCAUCGAUAUAGACCAGACCUAGUAGACUUUCAUUCUUUGAAAACUGAUGAGGUAGAAAAAAACAAUCAACUGGCUUUUGAUGUCUUGGAGAAGGAGUUGGGUAUCUCGCCGGACAGAGACCCCAAAAUGCCUCUUCAUCAUAAAGGAAACAUGGACGAAGAUUUUUCUGGACGAAUUAAGGAUAUUGAAGAUAAACUACGAGGUACUGCGCCGACUGAAAAAAAGCCUCGAGAUCUUUUACGAGCAAUUGGUAAAAUAGAAAAAACCGAUUGGAAUGUCAAGGAAAUCGAGAAAAAAAUUGAAGAGAAUAAAAUGGGUAAAGGCGUAAGGCAGGAUAAGGUUGAAAGAGUGCCAAAGUGGAGUCGUGAGCAGUUUCUUGCUCGGCAAAUUAAGAUGGAAAAAAAGGGGAAAGAUCCUAACGAGCCCGAACGAAAGUACGCUGAAAUUGAUAGUACUCUGAAAAAUAUCGACCGAAAAAUUAAAGAAGGAAAUGUCUUGGGACAUAAUAAAGUUUCUGCAAUGGCAGAACAGUUUGCUAAUAAAAACCAAGACAAUGAACCUAAAGUUCAAAGAUCUAAUUCUAAAGCAGCGAUAGUUUUACCAACUCAAGGGGGUUCUGAAAUGUGCCAUUUUUGUGAUAAACGAGUUUAUCUCAUGGAGAGAUUGAGUGCUGAAGGGAAAUCUUUUCAUCGUGGCUGUUUCCGUUGUGAAUAUUGUUCAACUUCUCUUCGUAUUGGAAACCACACAUUCGAUAGGGAAAAAAAUGGUGGUCGUUUUUAUUGUACACAACACUUUGGUUUACCCGGUACAAUGAAAACGAGAAUAGAAAAGAAAAAACUUCCUUUGCUCAAUAAAGAAAAUAUACCAGAGCCUUCAGAGAAGAAAAAGCCCGUCCAAGAGAAGACACAAGCAAUGAAACCAGCGUUAGAUGGUGUUGUGGGUUUGGAUCUUUUAGAUCGCGGUCAAACACCAGAGAGAAUAGAAUUUGAAAACUUGGCUGGAGUAUCAGAUGCUGAGGAGGCUCAUAGUCAAAUGGAUGAAGAUGAAUGGACGGAUAGAAACUUUGGUGCUUCAGCUGCUGAGAUGGGUUCCAGUGAUGAUAUUUCCGAUAUGAGUGAUUCAGAUGAGGACAAUGAGAUCUACGAGGAAGCAAUAGAUCAACCACUGACAACGGAAGGUACGAUAGAGUUGGCGAAGAAUUGGACCCUGAGGUACUCUCAUCCUCAAGCAUCAGCUGGACAUUCAGAUACUGGUAGCAACGAGUAUGAAGACUCGAGCGACGAAUACACAAGCGAGGACGAAGAGAGUGGCACCGCAACCGAAGACGAAGAGGACGUGCGUGCUCGGGAGCUGAGAAAGCAGGAGGUGUGGCUCAAAGUACCACCGAGGGAGUCUGACACGGAGACUGGCUCGGAAACUGAGGUGGCAUCGGAUGAAGAAUCAAGCGAAGAACGCCAAGAGAAUUCGGCUACAGAAAUUUCUACAGAUUCCGAGUUUGAACAUGACGGCACGACUCCCACGCAAAAUGAACCAGAGAUUACAAUAAAUGAUAACUUUGUGAGGAAGACUCGAGGUCAGUACAUCGAACCAAAGAAGGUGCAGGUAAAAAGUCGGAUUAUAACACCUGUAAACGGGAAAGUAAAGCCAGGAGAUAAGCGAGAGAAUGAGACUACAAGCAAAAUCAACAACCCGAAAGUAAAUGACACUUCAAUCCGUCCGAUAAAAGCUGUCAAUGCAAUGCCUUUAGUUAAUCCUCGAAAAGGAGAUUACUUGUUAAAUCGUACACACUCAACAGAAGGUAUUGCUUCAAAACUUUCUUUGGAAUUAAAGAAGAGAUACUUACUAGGUGGAUCAGUGUUAGGUGGAAGUGUCAUAAAGUCAGGAUCAACCUCAAAUGUUGAUACAAAAUUGAGAAAUUUUACUGAUACUAUUUCGCAACAUCAGAAACUUCUUAAUCCGGCUCCUGAACCUAGUCCAACCAUGCAAGCAUUCUUACAGGGUACUAAUAAGUUAAGAUCAACAUCAAACAUUCCACUAUCGCCAAUAUUAUCCCGGGAAAUUUUGCCAGUAUCUCCGUUGAGAUUUAAUAAAUCUUCAGAAAUAGAGAAACCAAAAGAACCUGUCAUUGAUUACGUAAAAGUACACCUGCCAGAUUUAGUAAAGGAAACAAAUAUUAUGAAAUCGAAAACAGAUUCAAAUAUACUUCGGUUAGGAAUUUUAAGAACACCAGAAAUGAAAAAUGAAAAUGAGAAAAAAAUCGAAUCCAAUAUUGAAGAAGAAGUAGUUAACAAAAGUGAACAGAGUAAAGAAGAAUUAGAAUCAAAAAGAUUAAUAGGAAUUAAAGAAAACGAAGUGAAUAAAGGCAGCACAGAAACACAGCUCAAUUCUAAACAUGAAACAUCGGUUUCCCAACAAAAUUGGAAUAAAAAUGAAAUAAAAGAGAAAAAAUCUAGUAAAGAAUUUGAAAUGGAUAGCGAUUCAUUAUCAUCAGACUCCGAUACUGAAGUGUCAGAAAAUGAUGAAGAUGAAAACGAAGUAGAGAAAAUAAAAGAAAAAGAAAUUGAGCAACAAAAUAUAUCAGAAAAUUCUUCAAGAUUGCGUGUUCAUAAUACAGAUGAAGCUUUGGUACUUGACGAGAGAAAUAAUUUUAAAGAAGAAGAUUUAGGAAUGACCUUCGAACCUGACUCAAUCGAGUGUAUAUUAAACAUGAAAGAAGAUGAGAAGAAUGUAAAAAACGUUCAGCCAUUGAGGCCAGUGGACUUAUGGGUACGUCAAUCGAAUGAUGACACUAAGAAUAAAGAGAUAGAGGCAGUAAAAAAUGAUUUAAUGCGUUUAGAUUUAAAAGAGAAUGUUGCAAGUGUUAGCAAUUGUAGUAGUCCAUCUUCAGUAGCUUCAACAAUAUCAAACAAACAGAAUGAUUCAGUUGAAAAUGAUAUUACAACAGCGGCAUUAACAGAGACAGAGUUUUCCGAAUGGGCUAGAGAUGGUGAUGGGUUUGGUUCAGCUGAUCUAAAAGAUGCUGAGUUUGAUAUGAGUUCUAGAACAACGUCGUCUAAGAAACUUCGAGGUAAUGCUAAGAUUGCUAAAGAAGAAGAUCUAACAGAUAUCGAAUCAACAUCUGAACAAGUGUUUGGUAAUAAUAACAACAUAAUACUAGAGAAUGAUACAUCAAAAUUAUUAGUAAACGGAGAAGAUAUUGAUUACAUGGAUACGGACAAUGAAUCAUUGUUAGAUAGUCUUCGCGAUGCAACAAAUGUUCCAUUAGUAAAGAAUCGAGGUUUUGUAGAAUUUGUUAAUAUUCCUGGGAUGUCUACUUUAAAUUCUAAAGAGUCAAAAUCUUCUUUCAAUGACGCUCCAAUUGCCAGAAUUGAAAUAGAACAAGAGUUAUGUUUAGACGAAGAAAAAUAUGAGACGUACGAUGAUGAGAAUAUUAUUCAGAUAAAUUUAGUAACAAUGGACGAUGUUAAAGAAAGAUUGAGUAAUUGUAGUAUUAAAGCUGAACAUCAAGAAAGUGAGACAAAUAAAGCAUCUAUAGAAGCCGUAAAUAGAGAUGUCAUUCAAUCAAUGGAUGAGGAUAGUUUGUUGGUUGUUGAAACAGCUGAAGAUACAACUACAAGUGAGCUUACGACAAUUUUAGCAAGUCCUGUUUGUCCAUUACCUCAGACUGAACCAGAAAAGGUAGAAGAAUGCUCAUCAAAAACAGAAGUAAACGAUGUAAAUAAUCCGGAUUAUCUUGAAUAUGUUAAGCGCCUUCAAUCGAGAAUAGCAGAGUUUAGCAAUGCAAAAGAUUCUAUUGACGUAAGAAAGUCUAAAAGGAAGAAUUCAAAGAAUACUCUCCAAGAAAAAUCUGCAGAAAUGAUUUCAGAAGAAAUUAAAAGUCAAGAAGCUAAUAUUAGUUUUAAUUCACCUGCCACAUCAAGAAAACUUGAAGAAAUCACACGAGAACGUUCGAAACAAAAAAAUUUGAUUCAGGAUUUAUUGAUGGAUAAAAUAGAAGCUCAAAAACAAAAAUCAGCUGAGAAAAAGGCUAAAAGAGCGGCCCGAAAUACAUCCUUUAAUUCUAGUAUCCAAUCGUUUUCGCCUAAACCUCCUCCUAAUCUACCUCCGGAAGCUAUCCAUGACAUGCCUUUGAUUCCAUCGAAAAAUCCAAUUCGAACGACUUUUGCAGAAGCUAAAAAGUCUCUAGAUCCUCCAGUAGCUACAGAAAAACGACCUGAAAACAAAUUAAGUCCCGAAAAGUCAAACAAUGACUUGCAAAAAGUAUUACUGCCAAGUAUCGAUUCUGGUUUAAGUGACUUCAUUGAAAGUGAAGAGAAAUUCAAGACUCCUGUUGCUCCUCCAAGAUCAAAACAUGAAGAAGCAAGAAAAACAGCGGAGAAAGCAAAACAAGAAGCAAGAGAGCGAGCGAGAUUAAUGAGCGAUGAAGACCUAGGGUUAAGUCCUGAAGAUAAAAUACGUCAGUUGAGAAUGAAAGUAGCUAGAAGACAACUUUCAAUGGAAGAUCGCCAAAACCAUGAUAAUGAUAUAACACCUGAUGUUAAAACGCGACAUUAUAGUUUUACUGCACAAAAGUCUGGAUAUUCAUUGCAGCCUAGUAAAAGCACUGAUAAUAUGAAGGCCUUUACAAAAAAAACACCAGUUGAACUUUUGCCAGCAUCAAGUGCAAAAUCUAUGAGUGAAUUAGCUUGUAACAAGGAUUCAGAAGGCAAGAGUUCAUUAGAUAUAGUUGUAAAGCGCGACAAAAAGAAACCUAAGGAUCCAGAACGAAGGAGAAGUAUUAUUCAAGCAGUCUCAGAUUUUUUCAAGAAAAAAGAGUCCACACCUUCUCCAAGUCAUAAAGAUAAAGGGUCAGUUUUCAGACUCACCACUAGAUCUAAAGACAAAGGAAAGUUGUAUAAGUGGUAUUCAGAAGGCUGCAAUCUUGACAAAAUUGAUACAAAAUUUGAAGAGAGACCAAAAAGUGUAUGUGAGCCUAUGCUGAUUGAGAACUUUAGGAUCAAUUCAUCUCCACCUGUUCCACCGCCUCCAUUAAAUUAUCCAGAUACUUCAGUUCAUGUUUCUGAUGAUAGUCUGUCCGAUGAUGACUCUAAAAUGACAUCUUUUUUACCAUCACAAAUUCAAAAACAUAUUAAUAUUGAUGGUCAUUGUACUAACAGCAGUUCAAGAAAGAUGAAAAAUACAAAGAAAAUGGUGCGACAAGCGCAAUUGAAACGAUUGAGGAUUGCACAAGAAAUUCAGAGAAAACUCGAAGAAACAGAGGUGAAGCAGCGUGACUUGGAAAGCAGAGGCGUAAGUGUAGAGAAAGCUCUUAGAGGUGAAGGAGAAUGUUCUGGGCGAGAGGAAACAGAUUUGCUAGGGGAAUGGUUUGAUUUAAUGCGAGAACGUACAGAAUUACGAAGAUAUGAGAAGGAAUUGUUGGUUCGUGCUCAGGAAGUUCAGUUAGAAGAUCGUCAUGAUCGAUUACAACAAGAAUUGCGAGAAAGAUUAGCUGAUGAUGAUCAGAAGAAAACAUCAGCUGAUGUAAAAAAAGAAGGAGAGAUUCUAACAGAGAUGCUGGAAAUUGUGGCUAAACGAGACUCACUGAUAGCAUUAUUGGAAGAGGAACGACAAAGGUGGCGUAAAUUCUCGUGUCCAAAAUUCAUUGCACAUUAUUGCACCAGAAAAUUUGCAAGUCCUAAACAAAUCAUUAACACCCUUGCACCUGAAUCAAUUUUUAAACUUCAGUUUUUUCCAAUUUUUCUUAUAAUUACAAUUAUUAUUAUUAUCUUUAUAAACUAUGGAGAUUUCAUUUGGAAUAUGUUUCUUCCCUAAUCAUAUUUGAAUAUUUUACUACUCUUAUUUUUGCUUGGUGGUUGUGGAUUGCUUGCAUGGAAUGUAUUUUUUUAAAAUUAUUAUAGUGGACAAACUCAAGUAUAUGAUUGACUGAGAUUGCAUGAAACAAAUCAUUGUAAGGGCAUUAUUAUUUUUACAUUUAUAUGAAUUGUUUUCCAUUGUUAUUGUUAAUUUUUUUAUUAUGUCGAUGUGAUUUAUCGUGCAAUAUUUUUGAAGAAUGUAUUUUACUCUUUAUUUGUAUAAAGGUGAUAAUUAAACGUAGUAAAAAGUCAUUUAUUAAAUAUUUGAGUACUUAUAUUAGAAUUUUGAGUUUUUUUUCAUUGUAUAUUCGUCUUUGAUUGUAAAAUUUGGACAGAGAGCUCAACUAAGCAACAUGUGAUGUACUUGAAAUUAAUAGAGGGAAUGGUAUAAAAACGAAGAUAAAGACAUUGAGGCUCAAAUGUUGGCUAAAGGCUUAAGAUUGACAUCAAUUGACAAAGAUGAUUCCAAAUAUUUG